AUGCGAAAUCGGGUUCACUGCCCGUUUCUUGGCCGAAGUUCUCAGUAGUAGUUUCCUGAAUCUUAUAUUAUUCUUGGGAAGUCGUCUUCAUCAUUGAAGCCUUAACUCAGAGAUGAAUGAACCACCAAAGUAUGCUUAUCCUUAUCCCUCUCAAGGAUAUUACCAAGGGCCUCCGGUGAUGGCACCCCCACAAUAUCAAUAUGCAGCACCUCCACCACCCAGAAGGUCACCUGGUUUUCUCGAGGGAUGUCUUGCGGCGUUGUGUUGCUGUUGUCUCAUUGAUGAGUGCUGCUGCGAUCCCUCCAUCAUCUUCGUCAGCUGAGCUGAUCCAAUUUCUAGUGAUGUUAAUAAUUUCGUGUCAUCCUUUUCAUGAUAACUAGGUAAAAACCAAAACAGGCAGGAUGAUGAUUUCAAGUUGUGUUUUUUUUUUUGGGGUUAGCUAGGUAUUACUAAAGUGAUGUUUGGUUGGAAUCCUCGUGUAGUCUUGGACCCUUGGAAGCCAGCUUUCAGUCCAUCAUCAUGGCUGAUGGUUGGAUGGAUGUGUGGCUGGUGGUGAUUCCAUUUUAAUUUAAUUUCAGCGGAUUUGACUGCUUAUGAA